rnacentral:rRNA from 1 species
CCUCCUUUCUUCCUCCUUGGGGCAUCUUGCACAAUGGGGGAAACCCUGAUGCAGCGACGCCGCGUGAGUGAAGAAGUAUCUCGGUACGUAAAGCUCUAUCUGUAGGGAAGAAAAUGACGGUACCUGACUAUGAAGCUCCGGCUAACUACGUGCCAGCAGCCGCGGUCAUACGUAGGGUGCAAGAGUUAUCCGGAUUUACUGGGUGUAACGGGAGCGUAGUCGGCAGCACAAGUAUGAAGUGAAAUCCCGGGGCUUAACCCCGGAACUGCUUUGGAAACUGUGCGGCUGGAGUGCAGGAGGGGUAAGCGGAAUUCCUGGUGUAGCGGUGAAAUGCGUAGAUAUUAGGAAGAACACCGGUGGCGAAGGCGGCUUACUGGACUGUAACUGACGUUGAGGCUCGAAGGCGUGGGGAGCAAACAGGAUUAGAUACCCGAGUAGUC